GCUCAGAAACUUAAAGGAAUUGACGGGGCCCGCACAGGCGGUGGAGUAUGUGGUUUAAUUCGAUGCAACGCGAAGAACCUUACCUGGUCUUGACAUCCCGGAGACCCUUAGGAAACUAGGGGGUGCUUCCAUCUGGAAGAAUCUGGAGACAGGUGCUGCAUGGCUGUCGUCAGCUCGUGUCGUGAGAUGUUGGGUUAAGUCCCGCAACGAGCGCAACCCUUGCCUUUAGUUGCCAGCAGUUCGGCUGGGCACUCUAAAGGGACUGCCGGUGUUAAACCGGAGGAAGGUGGGGAUGACGUCAAGUCCUCAUGGCCUUUAUGACCAGGGCUACACACGUACUACAAUGGCCGAUACAAAGGGCAGCGACACUGCGAGGUGAAGCCAAUCCCGUAAAAUCGGUCUCAGUCCGGAUUGGAGUCUGCAACUCGACUCCAUGAAGUUGGAAUCGCUAGUAAUCCGUUGGAUCACGCAUGACCAACGGUGAUACGUUCCGGCCUUG
rnacentral:rRNA from 1 species